UGCCAUACCAUGCUGAAUAUACCGGUUCUCGUUAGAUUACCGAAGUCAAGCAUCAUUGGGCGCGGUCAGUACUUGGGUGGGUGACUACCUGGGAACACCGCGUGCCGUU
rnacentral:rRNA from 1 species